rnacentral:rRNA from 1 species
AAUCAACGCUGGCGGCGUGCCUAACACAUGCAAGUCGAACGCGAGAGGGGCUUCGGCCCCGAUUGAGUGGCGAACGGGUGAGUAACGCGUGGGUGACCUACCUUCGAGUGGGGGAUAACGUCCCGAAAGGGACGCUAAUACCGCAUAACAUCCUGCUUUUGAAUGGGUGGAGAUCAAAGCCGGGGAUCGCAAGACCUGGCGCUUGAUGAGGGGCCCGCGUCUGAUUAGCUAGUUGGUGAGGUAACGGCCCACCAAGGCAACGAUCAGUAUCCGGCCUGAGAGGGCGGACGGACACACUGGGACUGAGACACGGCCCAGACUCCUACGGGAGGCAGCAGUGGGGAAUCUUGCGCAAUGGGCGAAAGCCUGACGCAGCGACGCCGCGUGAGGGAUGACGGCCU